rnacentral:rRNA from 1 species
CCUACGGGCGGCUGCAGUGGGGAAUAUUGCACAAUGGGCGCAAGCCUGAUGCAGCCAUGCCGCGUGUGUGAAGAAGGCCUUCGGGUUGUAAAGCACUUUCAGCGGGGAGGAAGGCGGUGAGGUUAAUAACCUCAUCGAUUGACGUUACCCGCAGAAGAAGCACCGGCUAACUCCGUGCCAGCAGCCGCGGUAAUACGGAGGGUGCAAGCGUUAAUCGGAAUUACUGGGCGUAAAGCGCACGCAGGCGGUCUGUCAAGUCGGAUGUGAAAUCCCCGGGCUCAACCUGGGAACUGCAUUCGAAACUGGCAGGCUAGAGUCUUGUAGAGGGGGGUAGAAUUCCAGGUGUAGCGGUGAAAUGCGUAGAGAUCUGGAGGAAUACCGGUGGCGAAGGCGGCCCCCUGGACAAAGACUGACGCUCAGGUGCGAAAGUGUGGGGAGCAAACAGGAGUAGAUACCCGAGUAGUC